GGUGAAAAGCGCAGCAGGAAUGUAAUUAUAAGCUGUAGUUUUGUUACAAGAAUGCUGCUCCUCCCUUUUGCCAUAAUAAUGUAUGUUGAUUUUGCUUUCAUGUUUGAUUGUGCAAAUGACGAAGUCUGAAGUAAAAAAAGAAUUAAAGUUAAAACCAGUGUUUCCAACCCUCCCGGUCCCGCCCUAAGUUAUUAAAGUCAGAGAAGCUCUAACACCUCCAUCAUUUAUCCUAAACUCCUAGAACAUCUCACACACAGGUAACAAAAACUGCACGAUUAACAGAUACAUAAGCACAUAAAGAUCACGGAUGAGGAGUAAAUGGAUUUAUGUGGCUAUCCUGGGGAUAGCAUGCAUGAUGCUUGGAGUCAAUGGGAGCAAUACAACAAGCAGUAGCAACUCUACAGACAGCUGGAUAUCUUCUAACAUGACCACCAGCCUGACCCAGACGCUACCAACCAACAUGACCACCAACCUGACCCAGACACUACCACCCAACAUUACCACCAACCUGACCCAGACGAACCCACCCAGCAUGACCACCAACCUAAACCAGGACAUCACUGGCAGGGAUAACUGCAGGAGGGAUAGGGCAUGUUUCUCCGCUCCACCUUCCUGUAAUCCAGGUGCAGAAGGUUCCUGCUAUUUUCUUUCCACAAGAGGAGUAAGCGGAAAUGCAGAUAAUUUUACUUUUGAGCUGAGUGGCGAGACAGAUGGUUACAUUGGAGCUGGCCUCUCUCGAGACAGCAGUGGUCAAGGUGCCACCGUCUAUUCUUGUGCCAAAUUCAAUGGUGCACUGAGGUUAAUUCGUUCCACACUAAACAAUCAAAUAUUGAUGCAGGAUAAUACGUUUAUCCCUGGAAGCUUCCGAGGCUCAGUCAUUGGUAGAAAGAUUCAAUGCAUUUUCAAUGCUGCAGGUCUCAGCAGCACCACCCGUUCUGCAACCACAGACACUUUUGUCUUCCUUUUAACAGGCAGCAUAUCAAAUGGUUCUCUGGAUUCUCCAGUCAGUAGACUGACCACAAAUGGGUCAGUGGACUUAAGCAACCCCAACAGCACAGACGUUUCAGUAAUAACACCCAGUACAAAUGCCACUGCAUCUAAUACCACAGCAACAUCAACCACCACUGCAGCAUCUACAAACUUGACCCAGACGGAUAUCACUGGCAGGGAUAACUGCAGGAGGGAUAGAGCAUGUUUCUCUGCUCCACCUACUUGUAAUCCAGGUGCACAAGAUUCCUGUUAUUUCCUAUCUGCAAAAGGAGUAAGCGGAAGUGCAGAUAAUUUUACCUUUGAACUCAGUGGCGAGUCAGAUGGUUACAUUGGAGCUGGCCUCUCUCGAGACAACAGUGGUCAAGGAGCCACUGUCUAUUCUUGCGCCAACAUCAAUGGUGCACUGAAGUUCUUCCGUUCCACACUGAACAAUCAAAGACUGGCUCAGGAUAACACUUUCAUCCCUGGAAGUUUCCGUGGUUCGGUGAAUAGAGGAAAGAUUCAGUGCAUUUUCAAUGCUGCAGGUCUCGGCAGCAUCACUCGUGCGGCAACCACAGACACUUAUGUCUUCUUUUUAACAGGCAGUGUCUCAAAUGGCUCUCUGGAUUCUCCAGUCACUAGACUGACUACAAAUGGGUCAGUGGACUUAAGCAACCCUAACAGCACAGAUGUUUCAGUAAUAACACCCAGUACAAAUGCCACCACAACAGCCCCGAACAUCACCACAUCUAGUUCCUCUUUAGCAUUAAACACCACUACAGCCCCGAACACCACCGCAUCUAAUUCCACUGCAUCCUCAAAUACUACUGCAUCAUCAAAUGCCACUGCAUCUAAUGCCUCUGGAUUAUCUACAGCUAAUAAUGUUACAACAAAUGAUAAGGUCACCAAGGACAACUGUAAAAAGGACAGGGCAUGUUUCUCCACUCCAGCCAACUGUGAUCCAUCAAGCUCAAGUAGCUGCAUUUUUGCCUCCACAAGAGUGGUGAACGGAAACUUAGACAAUCUCACUUUUGAGCUCAGUGGGGAUUCAAAUGGUUACAUCGCAGUUGGCCUGUCUCGAGACAAGAAGGAGGUCUGAAAAUGAUGAAAUUUAUUUCUCAUAUAUGUCCAUGCUUAAAAAUAAAAAUCCCUUUGUUAAAAAUGUGAUUUUGGAAAAACAAAUCUCAGAUUUGGAUUCUCGGACUUAUUAACCUUUCCUGCUCAUAGGGUGAUGAUGACACUGUCUACUCUUGUGCCAAUGACAAUGGUGUGGCGAAGUUCAUUCGUGCCACUCUGAACAACAACAUUCUGACUCCAGAUAAGACUUUUAACCCUGGAUCCUUCCGUGGCUCUGUGAACGGCACAAGGAUUCAGUGCAUUUUUGUAGCUGCAGGUCUCAGCAGCAACGCCCGUGCGGCAAACACAAAUGCUUUCCUCUAUUUCUUCACUGGCAACUUUACAAAUGGCACUUUAGGGUCUCCAGUCACACGAAUGUUUACAAAUUCAUUGGUUGAUCUAACCAACACUAGCAGCUCAGACGUUGCCAUAAUAACACCCACUACAAGCACAGAUAAUACUACCACUAUUACGACUACUACAGCAAAACCUGCUACUACAGCAGGGAGCAAUGCACUGCAUCAUGCUGCAUCUCAGGCUGCUCUGGUAAUUCUCUCAGGGAUCCUUGCAGUGCUCCUGUUGUAAGGAUUCUGCCAACACAUUUGCUUUCUGAAACUGGUCGAUGAGCACUGAACGCUUGAUGAACCCAACACCAAAGUAUAUGUAAUUCAGCAUAUUUAUAACUGUGCAAUAAUGCGACUCUGGGAACAAUGAAGAAAGAAGCAGAAAAUAUGGGGAAGAGGGCAUUACAUUAUUUAUUUAAUCUUAGUGUUUGUGUGUGAGAGAUUGUGUUUAUGAAUGUUUUUGCGAGCGUUAGUGUUUGUAUUCUGCUAAUGUACUGCUAUUUAAAAUCAGGCUCCUGCACAGAGAGGGCUGAUGAAAAUUAAAAUCAGUAUAUUAAUAUAAUUGUGCAAGUGUGAGCCAUCAUGUGGCUAAAAUGAUCUAAGAUAAUUGUUUUCAAAUGUCUUAAUUUAUUGUUACUGUUGCCUCAAACCAUUGAUUUCCUGUAAGUUAUAAAUAUAGUCUUUUUUUUUUAAUAUGCAUAAUAAAAUGUUCAAGUAAAAAAAAUGAAACUGGUAGAUCAGUGUUUGGACUAA
ensembl:lncRNA